CAUGAAACCCUUUUUGUGGAGGUCUCGAAAGCGAGUAGCCUCCACAGUGGCUUUCGAAUGGCUCUUCCUCAGUCGGUGAAGUUCGUCAUCCAACUUCUUUGAUUUCUUCAUUAAAUAACGAACUUUCCUUCUCAGAUUCCAGAUCAUCGACUUCAAAGGGAUCCCUUGUGGCAGAAAAAGAGCUUCGGCAGGGCACUGUUAUUGGGAGACAAGAGCGUCACGACGCAAAUCAGUGCAAGAAGAUAAAAGAGAAGAAAAAGGAUGUAGAAUAAGAAAAAAGAGCUCUCUAUAAAGAAGAAUCCGAUUUCAUUGACUAAAUAGUUCUUAAGUACAAGAGAAUGAGAAAAAGUUGCAAGAAAGGAGAAAAAUAUAAAAUUAGAGGUUUCGGACUUCUGGGACAGAAGUGGAGGAGCUCGAUGCCCCC
rnacentral:lncRNA from 1 species